rnacentral:rRNA from 1 species
CCGUACACAAAAAUGCACAUACUGUGAGCUCGAUGAGUAGGGCGGGACACGUGGUAUCCUGUCUGAAUAUGGGGGGACCAUCCUCCAAGGCUAAAUACUCCUGACUGACCGAUAGUGAACCAGUACCGUGAGGGAAAGGCGAAAAGAACCCCGGCGAGGGGAGUGAAAAAGAACCUGAAACCGUGUACGUACAAGCAGUGGGAGCCUCUUUAUGGGGUGACUGCGUACCUUUUGUAUAAUGGGUCAGCGACUUAUAUUCUGUAGCAAGGUUAACCGAAUAGGGGAGCCGAAGGGAAACCGAGUCUUAACUGGGCGUUAAGUUGCAGGGUAUAGACCCGAAACCCGGUGAUCUAGCCAUGGGCAGGUUGAAGGUUGGGUAACACUAACUGGAGGACCGAACCGACUAAUGUUGAAAAAUUAGCGGAUGACUUGUGGCUGGGGGUGAAAGGCCAAUCAAACCGGGAGAUAGCUGGUUCUCCCCGAAAGCUAUUUAGGUAGCGCCUCGUGAAUUCAUCUCCGGGGGUAGAGCACUGUUUCGGCAAGGGGGUCAUCCCGACUUACCAACCCGAUGCAAACUGCGAAUACCGGAGAAUGUUAUCACGGGAGACACACGGCGGGUGCUAACGUCCGUCGUGAAGAGGGAAACAACCCAGACCGCCAGCUAAGGUCCCAAAGUCAUGGUUAAGUGGGAAACGAUGUGGGAAGGCCCAGACAGCCAGGAUGUUGGCUUAGAAGCAGCCAUCAUUUAAAGAAAGCGUAAUAGCUCACUGGUCGAGUCGGCCUGCGCGGAAGAUGUAACGGGGCUAAACCAUGCACCGAAGCUGCGGCAGCGACACUAUGUGUUGUUGGGUAGGGGAGCG